CCUACGGGUGGCAGCAGUGGGGAAUAUUGGACAAUGGGCGAAAGCCUGAUCCAGCCAUGCCGUGUGUGUGAAGAAGGCCUUCGGGUUGUAAAGCACUUUCAGUGGGGAAGAAAGCCUUGGGGCUAAUACCCUCGAGGAAGGACAUCACCCACAGAAGAAGCACCGGCUAACUCCGUGCCAGCAGCCGCGGUAAUACGGAGGGUGCGAGCGUUAAUCGGAAUUACUGGGCGUAAAGCGCGCGUAGGCGGUCUGAUAAGCCGGUUGUGAAAGCCCCGGGCUCAACCUGGGAACGGCAUCCGGAACUGUCAGGCUAGAGUGCAGGAGAGGAAGGUAGAAUUCCCGGUGUAGCGGUGAAAUGCGUAGAGAUCGGGAGGAAUACCAGUGGCGAAGGCGGCCUUCUGGACUGACACUGACGCUGAGGUGCGAAAGCGUGGGUAGCAAACAGGAUUAGAUACCCCUGUAGUC
rnacentral:rRNA from 1 species